UAUUACUGGGGGAGACAUUCCUAAAGGAAUGCUAAUACCGUAUACGCCCUACGGGGGAAACCAGGGGAUCUUCGGACCUUGGGCUAUUAGAUGAGCCUUUAUGGAAGUACCUAGUUGGUGGGGUAUAGGCCUACCAAGGCCACGAUCUGUAGGGGGCCUGAGAGGAUGAUCCGCCACACUGGGACUGACACACUGGCCCUACUCCUACGGCAGGAAUCCUUGGGGAAUAUUGGACAAUGGGUGUAAGCCUGAGCCAGCCAUGCCGCGUGAGUGAAGAAGGCCUUUUGGUUGUAAAUCACUUUAAGCGAGGAUGAGGCUACUUGGAUUAAUACUCUAUGAUAGUGUACGUUACUCCCUUAAUAAGCCCCGGCUAACUCUGCGCCAGCAACCGCGGGAAUAC
rnacentral:rRNA from 1 species